rnacentral:rRNA from 1 species
AUUGAACGCUGGCGGCACGCCUAACACAUGCAAGUCGAACGGUAGCAGGUUGGUACUUCGGUAUUGACGCUGACGAGUGGCGGACGGGUGAGUAAGACGUAGGUAUCUGUCUUGUAGAGGGGGAAAACAAGGGGAAACUCCUGCUAAUACCGCGUAAGCCCUAAGGGGGAAAGGCUGGGGAACCUGAAAGGGUCCUGGCGCUAUAAGGUGAACGUACGGCGGAUUAGCUAGUUGGUAGGGUAAAAGCCUACCAAGGCGAUGAUCCGUAGCUGUUCUGAGAGGAAGGACAGCCACACUGGGACUGAGACACGGCCCAGACUCCUACGGGAGGCAGCAGUGGGGGAUCUUGGACAAUGGGGGAAACCCUGAUCCAGCGAUGCCGCGUGUGUGAAGAAGGCCU